CCUGAAUGGGCUAAUCUCGACUGGGCAGUGAGGUCCCAGGGCUAACAGUUAGCCCUGCCCUUGGGGUGCGGAAGAGCCCAAGGUGUGAGUGACGUCUUUCAUCCUCUCUUCCUCUAUGUUCUAGAUGCUUCCCCUGCCUCACUGUAGGCCCAGAUGGAUCCAGCAGGGAGGCAGCCUGCCAUGGGCCUUUGCUCAAGGGACCCCCACCUGGGCAGUAUCUCCUGGCUCCUGGGACUCACCAGCCUCGUCCUCAGCGUCUGCAGCACUGGCACCCAGGGUUCUGCAGCCCAUGGUUCUGGAGUUGAGGAUUCGGGAAACCCUGUUUCUCUGAAGCGGAUGCAAGGAGCUUCUGUGUUGUUUCAAGUGCUCAGAAACCCAGACUUGCCUGCAGGAGUCAAGCUGGAGAAGAUGACCUGGGGGAUGUUCUCCGGGGCAAAGUAUACAGCCGUGCUGCGGGUCUCCGCUGGGGCACGCACUCCAGAAUGGGUCAACUUCCAGGACAAGUUCCAGAAGAGGGUCCAUGUGCUCAACAUGACGACCCUGAGGAUGAACAACCUGACCCUGGAGGACACUGGGCUGUACCGGGCUCAGGGCUCCUACACCAGAGGAAUAAUGUAUGACCGGGAUUUCCACCUGACUGUGUAUGAGCCCCUGUCCCUUCCCCAGAUCUGGGCCAAGGAUCGGUUCAUCACCCCAGGCUGGUGCAACGUCACCGUGAAGUGUGACACCUCGGGAACCAGGGAGGACAUGACCCUGUCCUGGGAGAGCAGGGGACUCCCCAGGGAACUGGAACAACGAGGGGCCCCAGGACCAGCUCCCAACCCCUGGACCCUGGCUCUGAGCCUGCCCCUGAGCCAGCCCAGCAUCAGCCUUAACUGUGUGCUCAGCAACCAAGAACACCGGAAAACUGUCACCUUGGACCUUGGGGACAUCUGUGGCCACGAUCCACAGGGACAGGCUGAUGCCUCCCAACUACCCACCAUCCUGGGGACUGUUGUGGUCCUGCUGCUGAUCCUGGGAGCUGGACUGUUCCUCUGGAGGACACGAGUGAAGAAGAGCCUGGAGCCUGGGAGAGGCAGGUUGCACUUCUCCUCCCCGGGCCCACACACCUCCCUCCCCUGGACCCUGGGCUCCCUUCCUCCUGCAUUGACUGCUCAGGGGAUGUCCCUGCAGGAGGCAGGUGGGGACGGCCAUGGCCUUGGGGUGUUGGAGGGGAGGGGACAGGUUUCCAGGGCUCAGACUUCAGCUCCCUCUGUGUAUGACCCAGGUGCACGGUCGCAGGAGGAGCACAGGGACCCCGAUGGUGGCAUUCACUCUGCAGAGCUGAACCAGCAGAGGUCUGGAGACAGCAGGGACAAGGUGAGGCUGGGAGAGGGGGUAGCCUGGGUCCUCCCACAUCCCUGUGUGCCUGGGUGUGUGCUUGUCAAUCCCCGUCAUCCACAGGGUCUGACCACUGUACCCCUGGAACACUUUCAGGACAACACAGUAUUAGCUACAAAAUUCACUUCGGGGCCCAUGCAGUGUUGCGUGACUAGAGGAGGACAUGUCAGCAGCACUGGAUCUAUGGGGGUCCUGUUGGGGCUUUCUGUCUGUCUGCUGUUGCAGGACCCUCUGUCUGCAUUCCAGGGUAGAGGUGCA
ensembl:lncRNA